CCUAGUCUGUAUGACACCCAACCUCCCCAGCCCUCUUCCUUCCAUCCCCUGAGCCCCGUUAAGUCGCUGGCUGUGCAGCUGUGGGACCCAACAGUGUGAUGAAGCAACGCCUCUGGUGUGCUGAAUGCUGGGACCGUCACAGAGAGGCUCCAAGGCUGACGUGGAUCUUCCUGUUUGGACUGCUUGCUGAGUUUCCCUGGAGUUGUUGAGCACGUGGGCUUCCCCACCUGCCCUGAUUGCUCACCAGGCCAUCGAUGCCCUUUGUGUCAUCAUGCCUCACAGCUUCAGUGACACCGUCAUAGGCAGCCACCAGGUUGGUCAAGCAGGAUUUACCCUUGGUGAAGCCAUGCUGGUUCUCCUGUAUCACCUCCCUGUCAUUUGCGUGCCUUAGCGCGACUUCCACGAGGAUCUGCUCGGUGCUGUUUCCCAGUACAGAGUCGGCUGUGCUCCUUGUCUGUUUCCUCGCACGGUUGGAACUCGAGCCAGCCUCG